AGCAGUCCUGGGAGGAGCAAUCAGUUCCUGCAAAGUUUCUCCAAGCAGUUCACCUGACUUCUAGCGGGUUUCUGGGGAGGACCUGGAUCCAGCCUACCUUGAAUAAGAGCUGUGAGGGAGAUGGCUAUGACUUUUCUGGUUCCACCUAUCGUGGGAAUUCACCCUGGCUCCAUGAAUGUGUGACUAAUUUCCUGGACAGGUGAGCUGACAUAAGCCUCUGGUGUAGGUAAGGAAAACUAAAUUGUUGCUGGUUAUGCAUUCCAGUGGACUUCAGAUAAUUUCAGCAGUAUUUGAUGGUACUUGGGAUCUGGGUGCAAAUCCGAGGUGUUGCUGCUUGGCUAGAACUUUGGAGGACUCCUGGACGUACACUUAAAGUGCCUCCAUGAGGUUUCUGGGGUGGCAAAAUCAGCAGAGCAACAUUCCUGGAGCUGCUCAGUGAUUAACAAUGAGGGCUGUAAUAACAUGUUCACCAUAAACGUUUCUGCUGUUUCCCCUCCCAGGCACGUAUUGCAAAAGAGUCCAUGGAGACCUUUGUGCCAUCCCUACCCAGCAGAGCCUGCGGCCCUCUGCCUGGCUGCCAAGGGAGCCGUGGGGAUGUGGGGAGAGGCAGCUGGCUUGCCAGGGGAGCUGGCUCAGCCUUGAGAAAGCAAGUGGGCCCAGGGGAUUGGGAGGGAAUAAAGUGGAAAACGCUGUAGAAACAGCUUUUGGAUUCAGAUGAGAGAGUGGCUCUUUGUGGGCUUUAACUGUAAGGGUUUCCAGAGUGUCACGGUUUUAUGAUUUUUGGUUAUCAGAGAUAUCCUUCUUGCUACCCAGAAUGCUGCUAAGCAAUUGCAACACGUUAGCUGCAAUUUCAGACAUUUAUGCAAUCAGCUGUUUCUGGGACACUGGUGAUCAGAGCUGAAGGCUUCCACUCUGUGUCGUAUUGUCAGCACUCUGUGCUUUAUCCCAGGCCAGACAGUAUUUCUGAAGUCUCAGUUAAUGGAUGUAUACAGAACCUGAUGUUCUGUCUCUAAAUGUGGCACACCCUGGUGCACCAGAGAGAAUGCAAAGAGAAAGCAAAUUGGAAGAGAACACAAGUGGAGGAUGGGGCGAGAGGGAGUGACCUCUGGGCACAGCUGGAUGGCUUCCAGGAUCUGGAGUAACAUGGAGUGAAAAGCUCGAGACGAUCUGGUUUAAGCAAGAGGCCAGCUACAAAAGCCAUGCCUUCUCAUUGCGCUUAGGCUAAUUGCAUGGACAUUCAUCUUCAGUCUUAUUUUUGGCAGAUAUUAUUGUUUCCACAGUCCGUCCUUCUCUCAUCUCUGCUGCCUCUCCAAGAGGGAGAACAAGUGAUGGAACAGCAUCUUCGUUUUCCACUCUAAUAAGCAGAACAUAUCUUGAGGCUAGAACUGAGUAGAAGAAAUUUAACCCUGGAUUUGUGUCCGAGGAGUACAUAAAUACUGAAAGCAAGGAUUUUCUCAGGACAACAACUGAAGAGAUGAAGAGAAACACAAGUGCUGUUGUAAAUGCCUGCAGACUCAGAUCCUGCCAGAGGCUCCAGGUGCAACAGGAGAAGCCAGCAGAGGGAGGCACGCCCAUUUUUACUGAAAGGAUUGGAAAAGGGUACUGGAGUGAAACUGCAGUUGUCUACAAACAGAAGGAUUCUUCCACUUGCCAGCCACACGUCUCUGUCAAGAAAAAAAGAAGUUUGAGCUGCCAUUAUGAAAUUUUAUUCAAACAAACUUUUGCAAAGGAGAAGAGUGGAAGACCAAAGACAGUGUCUUGAAAGAAAAUAGUCUUUAUUUCGAGGAUUGGAAGAAGAGAAAAAGUUAAGGCUAAGAAGAGAGUUGCUCAGAGGAGUUUGGCCAUAUUAAGAGCAGAGCUGGAAGUUAUCCCAAUGUGUAGGAAGGACGAGAUGACAGCGAGAAACCAGCUCACCCAAUGAGAUGUUCAGUGACCUCAAACAAGAAACUGGUUUUGCAGGGCUGCUCUGUAAAUCAGAUCAACAAAAUGAUCUGUAUUAAU
ensembl:lncRNA